UCUAAAACUCAAGUCUUUAUCUUUUCUCCUCCUUUUCUCUAGAAAUUCUUCAUCCCCUUUCAUUCUUUUCUUCAACCAACCACUGUUUAAGCAAACUAGGAGUCAAGAUCAUUGUUUUCCACCGAUCAAAAUCAAGCUUAGAGUUGGUGGUCUUUUCUCACAAAUCGAUGAACUGUAGGCGUUCAUAGGAAUUUCUAGUGGUGAUCGAGUUUGCAAUUGUUGAAGUUGUUCGGUCCGAUUAAGAGGUGUGAGCAGAGUGUGCAGAAGAUAUUUUAGAGCAUGCGUUGGCAGGAGAGGGGGUUUUCCGCUAAGAGUAAGAACGUUCGGUCUUGUAUUUGUUUCUGUUUUUAGUAUAGGACCGUUCGAUGUAAUACAUUGUUGUAGGACCGUUCGGUUAAUACACCUCUUGUAUGACCGAUCGAUCUGCUUUUAUGAUUUGUAUUAGUAUAAGUUUCUGUAAAGUUUUAAUUUAUGAUUAUUUUAGGAUAACUGUAAGUUAGCUUUAUUUUCUGUAACUCUUCUAUUUUAUUGUUAA